rnacentral:lncRNA from 1 species
UUUUUUCACCACACGGACAGCAUUCUAUAAGAUCAAUACAUGUGUUAAAACUCUCAUAAUCGUUACAGCGUUGCUGGUUGACGUUUUGUCACAAAAGGAUGCAUGUUAAGAACGAAAACAAAAUAAAGAAAAUAUAAGAGAAUUAGAAGGUUCUCAAAGUCUGUAGACCGGAAAAAAAGGGAGUCAAGAUUUCGCCUAGCAACAUGCCAUAGUGAUCAUGCAAUGCAUUGUUGCAAGAGUUCGCUGUCAUACAGAGAUCGUGAUACUUUCCGACUCUAGAUAUUAGAUAUAAUCUCUCUUUCCGAAUGGACGUGGGUAUAUUUAUACAUGUCACAAAUCCCACUAAAUAGUAUUUAGGUGUUUUCAUCUCUUCCCCUCAAGUAGCAAGCCAAGCC